ACCUAUGGCCAUGCCACCCUGAAAGCGCCCGAUUUCAUCUGAUCUAGGAAGCAAUCCAGGGCUGGGCCUUGUUAGUACCUGGAUGAGAGUCAGAAUUUGGCCCUUGAUA
rnacentral:rRNA from 1 species